rnacentral:lncRNA from 1 species
UAGUGACAGCCCCUCAGGAACUGUUGGUGGUAUUAGUUGACAACUACAUCAAACUCUUCACAGACUGCAACACAGAAGCCUUCCGGAAGAUACUGGACAUGAAGGGAAUGAAGAGGAACAAGCAGAGCAGCAUGCUGGAAUUCCUGCACCUGCCACUCCCCAUGCUGCCCUUGGGGGUGGAAAGCUCAAGCUCACUGUCCCUGAUGCCGCCAACACCAGAGCAGGAAUUGUCUGGCAUCUGCAAACUCAUUAA